CCUACGGGUGGCAGCAGUGGGGAAUAUUGGACAAUGGGCGAAAGCCUGAUCCAGCCAUGCCGCGUGUGUGAAGAAGGCCUUCGGGUUGUAAAGCACUUUCAGUGGGGAAGAAAGCCUUGGGGCUAAUACCCUCGAGGAAGGACAUCACCCACAGAAGAAGCACCGGCUAACUCCGUGCCAGCAGCCGCGGUAAUACGGAGGGUGCGAGCGUUAAUCGGAAUUACUGGGCGUAAAGCGCGCGUAGGCGGUCUGAUAAGCCGGUUGUGAAAGCCCCGGGCUCAACCUGGGAACGGCAUCCGGAACUGUCAGGCUAGAGUGCAGGAGAGGAAGGUAGAAUUCCCGGUGUAGCGGUGAAAUGCGUAGAGAUCGGGAGGAAUACCAGUGGCGAAGGCGGCCUUCUGGACUGACACUGACGCUGAGGUGCGAAAGCGUGGGUAGCAAACAGGAUUAGAUACCCCAGUAGUC
rnacentral:rRNA from 1 species